rnacentral:rRNA from 1 species
GAGUUUGAUCUUGGCUCAGGACGAACGCUGGCGGCGUGCUUAACACAUGCAAGUCGAACGGUAAGGCUCCAGCUUGCUGGGGUACACGAGUGGCGAACGGGUGAGUAACACGUGGGUGACCUGCCCUGCACUUCGGGAUAAGCCUGGGAAACUGGGUCUAAUACCGGAUAGGACCGCACCGUGAGGGUGCGGUGGAAAGUUUUUUCGUGUGGAGUGGCCCGGCCGGCCGUAC